ensembl:snRNA U1 U1 spliceosomal RNA
AUACCAAUCCAAUCUGGGAGAUACUAUGACCAGAAAGGUGGUUUUCCCAGGGCGAGGCUUAUCCACGCACUGUGUGCUGACCCUUGUGAUUUUCCCAAAUUUGGGAAACUUGACUGCACAAUUUGUCAUACUGGGGGCAAUACAUUCAUGUUCUCCCCUG